ensembl:piRNA 21ur-808 ncRNA
UCGUGUUUAGAAAAAAUUUCA